GACGAACGCUGGCGGCGUGCUUAACACAUGCAAGUCGAACGGAAAGGCCCUGCUUUUGUGGGGUGCUCGAGUGGCGAACGGGUGAGUAACACGUGAGUAACCUGCCCUUGACUUUGGGAUAACUUCAGGAAACUGGGGCUAAUACCGGAUAGGAGCUCCUGCUGCAUGGUGGGGGUUGGAAAGUUUCGGCGGUUGGGGAUGGACUCGCGGCUUAUCAGCUUGUUGGUGGGGUAGUGGCUUACCAAGGCUUUGACGGGUAGCCGGCCUGAGAGGGUGACCGGCCACAUGGGGACUGAGAUACGGCCCAGACUCCUACGGGAGGCAGCAGUGGGGAAUAUUGCACAAUGGGCGGAAGCCUGAUGCAGAAACGCCGCGUGCGGGAUGACGGCCUUCGGGUUGUAAACCGCUUUCGCCUGUGACGAAGCGUGAGUGACGGUAAUGGGGAAAGAAGCACCGGCUAACUACGU
rnacentral:rRNA from 1 species